UUCAGCAGCUAUACAGUAUCAUCCUGCAAUUCACAAGCAGGUGAGACCCUGGCCAGUACCUGGAUGGGAGACCUCUUGGGAAAGCUAAGGUUGCUGCUGGAA
rnacentral:rRNA from 1 species